UGUGGGAGCGAGCCUGCUCGCGAUAGCGGUGUGUCAAUCACAUCAACUUCAACUGAUCUGACGCCAUCGCGAGCAGGCUCGCUCCCACA
rnacentral:antisense_RNA from 1 species